rnacentral:rRNA from 1 species
UACGUAGGGGGCAAGCGUUGUCCGGAAUCAUUGGGCGUAAAGAGCGUGUAGGCGGCUCGGUAAGUCCGCUCUGAAAGCCCGGGGCUCAACCCCGGGAGGCGGGCGGAUACUGUCGGGCUAGAGUCCGGAAGAGGCGAGUGGAAUUCCUGGUGUAGCGGUGAAAUGCGCAGAUAUCAGGAAGAACACCCGUGGCGAAAGCGGCUCUCUGGAACGGUACUGACGCUGAGACGCGAAAGCGUGGGGAGCGAACAGG